rnacentral:rRNA from 1 species
CAAUGGCGUAUAUUAAAGUUGUUGCAGUUAAAAAGCUCGUAGUUGGAUUUCUGGUUGAAGCGACCGGUCGGGCGUUGAUUCGUCUGCACUGGAGUCGGUUUUGGCCAUCCUCUAGGAAAGUGCGUCUGGUAUUAAGUUAUCGGGCGUAUGAUCCUGGUCUUUUACUGUGAAAAAAUUAGAGUGUUUAAAGCAGGCCUUCGCCUUGAAUACAUUAGCAUGGAAUAAUAAGAUAGGACUUUGGUCUAUUUUGUUGGUUUGCAGACCGAAGUAAUGAUUAAUAGGGAUAGUUGGGGGUAUUUAUAUUCCGAUGUCAGAGGUGAAAUUCUUAGAUUUUCGGAAGAUAAACUUAUGCGAAAGCAUUUACCAAGGAUGUUUUCAUUA